CAGGAAAUAGUUUAUAAAAAUAUUAAUUUUGGAGAUUAAUGAAAAAGAAUUUUUUCUUUUUUCCUGA
rnacentral:tRNA from 1 species